CGGAUCUCCGAUCUGUCCGCCUCCGGUCUCCAGCACUCCUCCACAACCACCGGAUCUAUCACCUGGAGAAGGAGAGAACAAUGAAACGAAAACAGAAAAGACAGGAGAAUAGAUCUAAAAAGGAAACAGAUCCGGGAACAUUGCUGUUUGCGUUUCUUGGUGUUUUGCAGGUGACGUUGUUCUCACCGCCGGUGAGGAAAGGAGGGGGAGAAGAGGCUGAGACAGAUCGCACCGUUUCCAGCUUCUUUCUCACGGCGGCGCGUGGACCCACGCGCCGCUAGUGGCGGUGGUGCGUGGAUCCACACGCCGACACUGUUCACGCAGUCCCCAGAAGUCCUUCCCUGCAAUUUUCGGAGUUUUAGGGACUAUUGUGUAAAUUUUGAAUUAAUUAAUGUAAUUUUUAUUUAUUUGUUUUGAUUUUGAUUUUGUAUUUGUAUUUGUAUUGUGAUGUAAAAGAAAAAAGAAAAAAAAAGAAAAAAAAAUGAUGAAAAGAAAGUUGUGUGUGUUUGUAUUUUUAUUUUAUGUUAUUGAAUUAUAAAAAUAAAAAAAAGACAGACUUAAUUGUUAAUUUAAAUAUGGUUAAAUAUCUCAAGGACAAAUAAAAUCAAGUUGUAUUUUUCACGAAAAUCUGAGAACAAGUUUCUACAUAUAUUCGGGGAUUUAAUAACUUAUUUAUUCAAGCCUUAGAAUUUAAUUAAUAUUUUAAAUUUUCAAAUCACAUCAGAACACAAAGCAGCUUACCUCAGGUAGGGUGUGUUAGGGGUGCUAAUACCUUCCCUAACCACAACCAGUCCCUUACCCGCGAUCUCUGACAAGACCAGUACAUCAGGUUUCCUAGUAGCCCUCAAUGAAUUACUAGGUGGCGACUCCAACGAACUAAUUCAAAGCAAAACACACACAUACGAGAAAAAUCGCCAGCCCGAUACCGCGCGCCGGGAUUUUUUGGGGUGCGACAGAAUGGCGACUCCGCUGGGGACAGGUAUUGUUUUCAACUUUAUCGGACUAAGCUUUGUGUUGAUGUGUUCAAGUUUUUUGUGUUUUGUCUUAUUUUAUUUUUGUUAUUUUCAUGCAUUGUAAAUAUUUCUGUCAUGCAUCACAAGUUUUAAUUUUUGAAAGCACACACCAGCUUUAGGUUAGGUGGGGGACUAGCAGCUUACCUUAUGACUUGAGUCAAGGUUUAAGUUUGUGUAAACCCCAACUCUUUGUUGAGUGCUUAGACUGGUAAUAGUUAGACACGUGCCAACCCAUUACCUACUGGGCCCCUAUAUUGCCUUUACGAAGGCGAUCACUGGGACAACAAGAGACCCUUUUAGAGACCAAGUAGCAAACCUACCCUGUCUUACGUAAAAUGAAUAGAGCCUGUCUUUAGGAUGUAUGUGCUAUUGUUUUGCAUCUGAGCAAACCCUUCUUGAAGCAUCUUGAACUCAAGACUUGUGGGUGACACAUUGGCCGUCACUUUCGAAAAUUUUCAUUGUAGAGUUUGGGCAAAAAUCACGAUUCUUGUCCAUCAUACAAGAGUUACGACCAUAUUGUCACCCCUCGAAGGGUGAGUUCGUCAUAUAGAUUACAUAUUCAUACAUUUAUCAUGCAUGUACCGGGUUGAAAGGUAGGUCCCCCGUACAAGCUGUGCUGCACGUGAUUGAAGAAAGGAUGGAAAUGAAGAAAGAUGUUAGAUAGAGGCUCAUUAUCAGAUUGAGUUUGAGAGCAUCAAGUGUGAAGUAGCUAGACUUAGAUCUGCUCGAACAAGUGUUGAGCAUCAAAUGGAAAGAGAAUGUCUGCACAGUCUUCUGUGGGAACACUGCUUGUCCACGUCCAAUUGAAGCUGCCUCUCCUUUUCAGUCAUGAACAACAGCAGCAAUGCCUUCAGUCAUUAACUAAUGACAACUCUAGUUCUUGUCCAGUUGCACUGUUAAGUGUUCAUCGCCUCCACAUCAUCUAAUGGAACCAAACACUACGCCUCCUGUACAUGGUGCAUUAGUCUGCUUUGAAGUUACCCCAAUUAUGAGCUCAAUUCCAGUUCAGCAGCACAAGAUGUGGUCUGAAAAACCAUGAUUAACACUGAACUUCAAUGGCAGAGCUCUCUCUACAAAAAUCCAUUUAUGGCUCUGCAAAUUGGGAAUGCAAGAGGGGAUUUAUAAGUUGCAUAUGCUACAAAUAUUUCUCUCAUCAGUUUCAGCACGAAGACUCUUAGUAGGUUGAAGAGCCAGACCUGGUCUGAAAAAUAUGAGCAGACAUCAAACUUCAACGUAGCAGAGCUCUCUCGCAGGAAUCUGUUUGUGGAUCCGCAAGUGGGAAAUCCAAGAAGGAAUACAGUAGUUUCAGAUCAUCUAUGAUUUUCCUCCAACAGUGUCAGUAUUAAAACAAAAGUAGAGAGAAGAGACAUGCCUAGACUAAAAACAUGAAGAAUACUGAAACUUCAACAGAGCAGGACUUCCUCUAUUGGUGCUUGUUUGCUGCACCGUUCGAGAGAAUCGAAGAAGAAAUAGAGGAGAUUCAUGUCAUCAUUUUCUCCAUAAAGAGAUAAGCAUGAUUCCACACGUCGGUAGUGGCGAUACUACAAGUUUCUGGGCGCUGCCAAGAUUACCAAGCUGUUGGAAAGUUUUCUAACAAUCCUCAACCAACCACAACAACAUUGGAAGAUUGAAAUGAUGUUGUGAGGAUUUGACGAAGAAUUGAACAAGCUAUGAAGAGAGGAAAGAUUGAAGGAUCUGCCAUGGAUUCCAGAACAAUGAUGAGAGGUGAAUCAGGAGAUGACUUUGACGGUGUGAACCCUUAAUUAUGUGGUAUAGCCAGGUCUCACGGUAGCAUCAAUUGCUCAAAUGUCUUUGCCAAGAUUGACAUUCCUCUGCCAUUUAUGUUUGUCGCCUAGCAUCUGCCAGAUUCCAGAAUUUUUGCUUGACUCCAACAAAUCCCAUGCAACCACCAAUUUCUAGGUGGUAUAAUCCAGAUAAGAGAUGUGAUGUCAUUGUGGGGUCCUCAACCAUUUCAAGUGAACAGUUCAAGAAUUGCAAGAAUUGAGUCUGAAAGUUGGUGAGCAAGAGACAAGUGGAGUCGGUGAAAGAGGGUGUCAUUGGCUAUAUUGUCCCCCAAACAUCUUCAGAAUGACAUGUUGAUUUAAAAAGUGCUUGGCAAAACGCAAAUAUUGCUAGAAAGGCUGAUUCAAGAAUGGUGAUGAACAGUCAAUCAUAUUGUUUUGGAAUUCUGCAUUUUGUUUUGGGAUCACAUCUCAUCCUUCAACGAAACAUGCCUUGCUUUUGUCUUUUUGUUGUUUUGAAAUCAACAGAUAUUUAACAUUUAUUCUGACAAAAUAUUUUGAUCAAACUCCAACAGAAAUGACUCGAUGUUUGAAAAUGACAUAAGGUGACUAAACAAUUUUGAACUGAUACCUCCUGAAACUGAACCACACAUCAUAUAGCUAAGUUUUAGCAGUAUGCAUAAUGACAUGUAGUGGAUUUGGUAGUUAUGGACCCGUGAAUCAUGAUUCUUACAAGUCCCAAUCAUUACACUAGAUGGGGUCAAAAUUUAUCGGUUCUAACCGACCUUGCUUGAAAUGAGAAAAGGUCAUCUUUGAUAUCCCUUCACUUUUUAAAGAUUAUAUCCCUUGUAGUCCCAUUUUGAGCUGUAUAGAAUAUUUUUUUCAUAAAAACCCUGUCUAGGAUCACACCCCACACUGGGGGCAAAUGAGAAAUAUUUUGGAGACACGAAUAAAAUCAAUGGAUCAAAGAAAAGCUUAGAACAAAAGUCCAAUGUUUGAGAAAGGGCUAGAAGAAGAAAAUCCAUAGAUUGAGGGUCAUCCAAGAAAAAAUUUGAGGAAAUGAAAGAAAAUGCCUACCAAUUCUAAGAGAGGCAAGACAACUUUCAAAUGAAAAAAGAUAAUAAAUGCCAAAAGUCAACACUAGAAAAAUCGAUGCUUCAUAUCUUUUGGUGUGUCUAGGAUAAAGCCUCUAAUGUCUUCAAAAAAAAUUUAGAUUGGUUAUUCAUCAAAGAAAAAGUUGGAUUUGCGUUAUGACCUAUGUUAAGAAAAUUCUGAUAUUUGAGAUUAACAAGGUUAUAUGUCACUUUCUCUACAAUGACGACAAGAGAAAGAGAAUCGAUGAAUAGUUAAUGUUGAUCCUAAGUCGUUGAAACUCUCAAACACCUUUUGAGCCUUUGAAAUUCUUUUCUUUCAUAGCCACGAACCAUAGCCUGCAUUACGUGCUUUUAAAAGCCCUUUUUAAUCAAGCAAGCAUUUUGAAUCGAUAAAUGGCGCUCUCAAAACUUGAAGAGCUUUUCCAUAAGGGUCGUGACUUCAUGAAUUAAGCUACUGGUUAUUAUGCAUGCUGAUAAAAUAAAUGCUAAGAAAAGAAAUAACCUUUCUUGAUAAAGCCUGAGCAUCUUGUUUUUGAAAUUCAUAAAAAUGUCACCUCAUCACAGACCAUCAAAAGAUAUACCCAAAAUCAGAGUUUAAAGUGGACACAAAGAACCAUGAAAAAGUCAUUGUAGAGAAGUUUGAAUUUCAAAAGACAAAUAAUACUUUUCAAAAACUAAUAUCUCUUUGAUUUCAUUUCAACAAUGACUUGAAUAGACUUGAAUGAAAUGAAUUCCAGAACAAGAAAGAUUUUCAAACAAGAACAUCAAUUGAGUUUGCAAAAUCCUUGACAAAAAUGACAUCAACAUUUCUCGACACUCCUUGAAACGUUGACCACCUGGGGGCAAUACAGUGGACCUUAGAAGAAAACAAACAACCAGAUCAGCUGGGGGCAAAGAAAGAAUCAGAUGAGUCGUCAAAGUUCAUCAAAGUUCAUUCUGGCAAUCACAAAAGCCAGUAUAGACAAAGAAUGACUUCAGAUCACUAGGGGCAAUGUUGUUCAAAGACAAUCCAUGAUCUAGUGCACUUCAGCAGCAAUUGAUGAGCAACGCUGCACUUGAAGAUAUUUUCAUAUCUUCAUCUUGGGUUACCCUGUAAAACAUGGCUAUGACUCCGACAGAUGUUAUCGGGUGAGUGCAUUUGAUGAACAUCGAACAUAUGCAUACCACCAAGAUUGACUAUGGGACCAUCUAUUCUGAAGCUCAAAUGCGCACUUCACCGCAUGAAUAUGGGUGAUAACAUGAACAUCAUUGAUGAUGCCAAAGCAGUUAUUUUCACGAUCUGAUUUGACAAGCUAAGAGGAAUCCAUAGAGAAAUACAUCGCGCUUACAAUGAUGAGCUUUUACUGCAAAGCAUGAGAUCCAUGUCUGGAUGACUUGGCAGUUCCAUGAAGGCUGGUGACCAUACAUACUUGAAUGGUGUUUCAACCGAAGGCAAGUUCAUGACUGAUUAACAAUCUUGAUGGGUGUUGGCAUGAUGCACACAAUCAAUCAGAGGAUAAUUCUCAGAAGAAGCCAGAGAGAAAAUCUUCAUGAUGAAUCAAGCAGUACCACACUUGGGGGCAGGGUCAAGCUUGAACGAUGCAAGCAGUAAUUGUCGAAGACAGCCCGGGAUGGGCACUGCAUUUACAGCUGAGUGGAUGGCUAGCACAUGAAUGAGCCAAUGCAUCGGAAGAACAAAGAAAGCUUUGGGAUGCAAACAAGGGCACCCUAUGACGAUGGAGCAUCAAGGAGGGGGGGACCUAUAUUUCAAAUCAGGUAAGGAUGCAUGCAUAUCAUCUAACCUCAAAAAAAAAAAAAAAAAACAUUUGCACAUAUUUUUGAAUUGUUACAGGAAAAUCCUUAAUGAGGUCCAGCAAGAUGGUGGAAAGAGAAAGAAGCAUUGUGGUGAUGAUAAUAAAGAAUCGGUUUUGAUCAUGGAAUAAAAGGACGAUGGGAUAAACCUUACCAUUAGGAAAAUCCCAAAGAAAUGGAAAGAUCAACCUUGCAAUCGGGAAGCCUCGAGUUUUCAACCCUUGCAGUCAGGAAACACCGAGUUUUCAAACCCUAUGAUCGGGAAUUAUCAGGAAGCACCAAGUUUUCCAGCCCUUCUUCUGUCAUCCCCUCAGGACUUCGCUAGGUAAGUCCUAUUUUUCACACUUGUCAUAUCAUUUUUUUUCCAUCUGGGUAGGUCGCCCAUCAUAAUAAGACCGUUCUUCAUAUUUUUUCCAUCCGGGUAGGUCACCCAUGACAAUGAGACCGCAGUUUUCCAUAUUUUUUUCAUCUGGGUAGGUCACCCAUUACAAUGAGACAGCAUUUCACAUUCUUUCUAUUUGGGUAGGUCGCCCAUCACAACGAGACCACUUCAUCAUAUUUUUUCCAUCUGGGUAGGUCACCCAUUACAAUGAGACCACACUUCACAUUUUUUUUCCAUCUUGGGUAGGUCACCCAUCACAAUGAGACCACCAUUUUUUCUGGGCAGGUCACCCAAAGAAUGAGACCAUUCUCCAUCUUUUUUACCUGGGUAGGUCACCCAUAAGAAUGAGGCCAUUCCUCCCCCUAGGUAGGUCACCCAUUAUAAUGAGACCGCUUUUUACACAUUCUUUUGUUCCAGUUGAAUGAGGUUGCCAGAUGGGAUCUCAUGUAGCUUUGGUUAAAGGGAAUCUCCAUAUGGGAUUUCAGGUUGAUCGAGCUACACACAUUCUUUGGUUUUGGUAAAGGAGGUCGCCAGAUGGGAUCUCAUGUUAACAAAAAAAAAACAGAGAGAGAGAAAGAAAGAAAGACAAAAAAAAAAGGGUUUUUAGAUGAAGUGGAUAUUGAGCAAACAGAAAGACAAUUUUUUUUCUUUACAAAGCUUACUAUGCAAAACAUCGAGGAUUUUUGCUUCGUAAGCAUUGUAAAAAGAGGGCAUCUGUUGCUACCCAAUUUUGACCCAUGUUUUUGAUAUAUUUUCAAAAAUUCCAAAAAUAGAGAAAAACAAAGAAAAUCCAAAAAAAUAUAUUUUUUAAUAAAUUUUCGUCAUUUUAGCAUUUUCAACGUCGUCUAAAAAAAAAAGAAUUUUUUUAGGGUCUUUUUGAACGCGUUCAACUUUUCACGCGUCAUUUUUAAAAUCAUUGAUUUUCCACAUUUGAGUCGACGUUGAUAUUGCUCGUUUUCAAAAAAAUAUAUAUAAAAAAAAGAAAAAUCAAAUUUUACAAAAAAAGAAAAAUUAAGGGACCAAUUUUGAGGCCGAAACAAUAUUUUUGUAUUUUUGAAUAUUGGAGGGAGGGACAACCUAAGGAUUUUUUUUUUACCCGAAACCAGCCGCUCCCCCUGACCCAAGACCAUUAUUUAAUCCCUCUCUUUCGGCUGAAAAUUAAGGACUUAGCCCCCACCCAUGGUCUUCUUUUCCUUGUUUCCAGCCGACAAUGGAGGCCCUCCUCACAAUGAAAAAAACCCCUAUUUCUUCUCAUUCCCAGCUUUGCAAAGGAGAGGACGUUGGAGCCAUUUUCGCCAGGUCCCAAGAGCAGUGGGCAGAGACCCACGAUCCCCAGCCCCUGUGGAAUUUUCUCCUUCUCCCCCGGCUGGAACUUUCUUUUUUUUUUCACUACCAGCUCCGACUCUCCCGCGCCCUAUGCAGAAAACCAAGGCAACCCCCCCUGUUUUUGAUUUUUAGGCGGCUGUGAGACAAGCCUCCAUUUUUAUUUUUAUUUUUCUUCUUUCCCCGUUGAAGCUGACCGGCGCUUCCCCCCUUUUUGCAAAGAAAAAGCAACACACAGACCAGCCCCAGAUCAUUUUUUUUUUCUUUUCUUUCCAUUCUUCUCCCUCACCGGACCCAAAACCAGCCGGCCAAGACAGCUUCCUUAUCCCCCUCUCAGCUGUUCCUUUUUCAUCUCCAUCAACCCGAAGCUUUCCCCCUCAGCAGCGUCUUCUUCACCGGCGAUCUCUUCAGCCCGAACACAGCGGUGCUCACGAACCCAUAUCUGUCUGUCGUCUCCUCCUCCUCCAGACCGUUAGCGGCGUCCUCCAACGGCAGCAACUCCUCCUCCACAGUUCCUCCCUCUCAGCUGCUCCCUUUGCUCUUCGCAGCUCCUCAACCGGAUCGGAGCCUCCAGUAGCAGCCCGAAACAGCGGCGCCCACGGAUCUUCGAUCUAUCCGCCUCCGGUCUCCAGCACUCCUCCACAACCACCGGAUCUAUCACCUGGAGAAGGAGAGAACAAUGAAACGAAAACAGAAAAGACAAGAGAAUAGAUCUAAAAAGGAAACAGAUCCGGGAACAUUGCUGUUUGCGUUUCUUGGUGUUUUGCAGGUGACGUUGUUCUCACCGCCGGUGAGGAAAGGAGGGGGAGAAGAGGCUGAGAC
rnacentral:lncRNA from 1 species